rnacentral:rRNA from 1 species
AUUGAACGCUGGCGGCAGGCCUAACACAUGCAAGUCGAACGGUAGCACAGAGAGCUUGCUCUCGGGUGACGAGUGGCGGACGGGUGAGUAACGUCUGGGAAACUGCCCGAUGGAGGGGGAUAACUACUGGAAACGGUAGCUAAUACCGCAUAACGUCGCAAGACCAAAGUGGGGGACCUUCGGGCCUCACACCAUCGGAUGUGCCCAGAUGGGAUUAGCUAGUAGGUGGGGUAAUGGCUCACCUAGGCGACGAUCCCUAGCUGGUCUGAGAGGAUGACCAGCCAGACUGGAACUGAGGCACGGUCCAGACUCCGACGGGAGGCAGCAGUGGGGAAUAUUGCACAAUGGGCGCAAGCCUGAUGCAGCCAUGCCGCGUGUAUGAAGAAGGCCUUCGGGUUGUAAAGUACUUUCAGCGGGGAGGAAGGCGGUGGAGUUAAUAACUUCACCGAUUGACGUUACCCGCAGAAGAAGCACCGGCUAACUCCGUGCCAGCCGCCGCAGUAA